GGGGAAAUAGCUCAGCUGGUAGAGCACAGGACUCGCAUGUCUGAGACUCCUGGUUCAAUUCCCAGUUUCACAA
rnacentral:tRNA from 1 species